AAUAAGAAGUAAAUAAAUUACAUAUUAAUUUCGACUUAAUAAUAGAUAUAAAAUCUUAUUU
rnacentral:tRNA from 1 species